UGGUUUGUGCAGUGUUCCACAUGAUUCUUGGCUGAAUGUCCUUUUUGAGAUCCUGCAGCUGUUGACCCUGAGUGGGAGAAUGCCUUAUCCAGGUGUAGUCUUGUGCACACCUUUCCAGACCCAUAGCAGUGGUUUGGUUGCAGAGCUGUGAUUAUAUGGACAUUCUCCACACUUGGUAUACAGCAGUUCAGACAUGCAGCCCCAUUGGAAUGUGCUGAUAGAG